CCUCGAGUUCUUCUCCCCUGUGCCUUGACAAAUACGCUCAUGCACACCCACGUUGUCCUCUUCUUCGAGUACAGGCGCGGCAUUUGCGUCCCUCCGAAGGAAGCAUCGGCUCGAUGCGCAAUUUAAGCGUAUGAGGGCAGUGUAUAAUGGCAAAGAAUUAAAGAUGAAAAAAACGAAAAAGAAAAAGACAAACAAAAGAUCAAAAGUUACUUCGACAGGUACGUACGGCUUCAUCCUUAACUCAUGCACCACUUCGGGUAAAGCUUGCGGCGACUGGAACUAUCGUCACUGUCAGGAACGACCUCAUAAUUCACGUCGCUCAGGCAGCGGAUCACUUUGUACAGCCCGAAGUACCGUUGUACGAGCUUUUCGGAAAGUCCACGAUGGCGUAUGGGUACCCAGACCCAUACAUUGUCGCCAGGAGUGUAGAAAACGGACCUGUGUCGAAGAUCGCAUCGUUUCGCAUCUUGUUCUUGCUGAAUGCAGAUACGUACAUGAGCAAGCUGUCUGGCUUCUUCAGUGCGCUGGGUAAUUUCAUCAACGUCGGUAGGUUUGAGGCUUGUGCUUCUGAAGUGAGCGGCAAGUACCAAGACCGUGUUGCUGCCUGCUCGAGGAUCGGGCGUUUAUCAUCAACGCAUCGCAGACUUGCCUUCUGCAAGAUGACCUCAACAUGACCGAAUCGACGCGCCUGCAAUCUACGCAAGUUUAAAGCAAUCAGCGAACUGUUAUCGCUUCCUCUGGGGGCGGUGUAUUCGCCAGAGCAUUUUGGUCAUUCUGGCAGCAGCGGCGACGGCGUACGGACUGGACCUAACUAGCUUCCUGCAAUUUUUCAGGUUUUGGAAUAGCAUUCAGCCCAGAAAGAAUGCGACAUCUCUAACAAAUUUCGAUGAUGAAGCUAUACGCAGA